ACUCUUUUUAAUUUGAACUUCACGUGUCUUCCUUUCAGGAUGGAAAAGCAAAAUGGAGGAAGUCGCUUACUUCCUGAAUGGCAUUAAUAUCUGUUAUUCUCUUCCGGAAGCAUUUAGGUCUACUCAUAAAAAGGCUACAAAGUAUGUACAUAAAUUUAGGUGUUCCAAUGGGCAGCAAUGCAUCUAAAAAUUAAAAGUCUAUCUGACUGAUACCUACAGAUAACGCAGAUAAGCCAACAGACAUCUGAGCUUCAAUGUAAUUUAUUAAGGUUCUAGUUCUACUUUGUCACAUAAUGACAUGUUAAAGCUAUUUUAAAAAGCUUGUGAACUAUUUUCACCUAGUCUUUCAGCUAGUUUAAGGGGGCUCAGAUUAAGCUUGGAAAAAGCACAUUCAUUCAUUCUAUUAUUGAAAUUAUUUGUUAUGUUUAUAGUAUACAUUCUUUCUUCCUUCUGAGGAGCAUGUAAAAUUUAGAAAUGUUAAUGAUUUCAUUAUAAACUAACUCCAGUAACAUAACCCUUGUCCUCAAAUUGACUUGAUACCUGCAGUGUAACAGAAGUAAAAAUUGAGAUUAUCUUUGAACAACACUGUUCAGGAGUGUUAGAUGCCCAAGCUAACUCAAUAUAUCACAAGUUGUUUGGUUACAUUACCGACCUAUUCAGUUUAGGUGAACAGAACCAGUGUUACAAUAACGGAAUUGGUUUGAGCUACCUUGGGCACUGUAUUGUGCACAUAACACAGGAACCUAUAUCAUGAUGCCAAGUGCUUUCCAAUAGUGAGGUUUGAUUAUAUUUAAUCUUAGAGAUCUAAUUAAGUCUUACAGAUCUUUUUGAGAAACAGCUUUGACUUCAGUAGAUUUUCGCAGGACAAAGCAAUAUUUAUGAAGUAUAAUGAGUCACUGGCCUUUUUAAACAAGUCUUUAUGAGAAAGUGAGUAGCUUACUCUGACUUAGUUUAGAGGUAUUUUUAUGAGUCUGAUCUCCUUCCUUCACCUAUCCUUGAUAUUUUUGGUACUGUCCUAACUUUUCAUUUAGUGAGGUUUACAUUCUUUGUACACAUUUUCAUUAUUAUAUUUCCAUGCUGAAAAUCCAGUCUGCCAAUGAAAAUUUAUGUCAGAAUAGGUGCUGUGGAAUAAAUCAAGAUUUUGUUCAUUAUGGUAAUGGUAAAUCUCAGUUCGUUAUUUAAGCUGGACAAAAAUAUGAGGCUAUAAAAGGAAUUAGAUAUUACUUAAUAGCAGCAGUAUGUUUCCCGGAUCAAUAGAGUUAUAGAUAGGAAGUCUAAGAAAGGUGUAAAUAUUUCUUUUAUAUGGGAAAAGAUUUUACAGAUUACAUACCUUUUAUAAAUACCUACAUCCCUUUAGAAAUGCUGUUCAAGACAGCCACAUUGUAGUACAAUCUGAUUUCAGUAUCCAUGGCUAAGAUAUCUGAUAUGGCAGAUACUUUUUCAUAUAGACCUUUUACAAUGAUGAUACUUUCAAAUAGAUACUUAGAUACUUUCAAAACAUAAAGUUAGUAUCUUACUUAAGAUACUGUCUAAUAAAAAAGAGGUGUUCAUCAAAAGAGAUGAAGUGUGAAUGUUGUCCAUAUAGGUAGCAAAAUCGAGGCUCUUACAUGUCCAGUUUAAACAUGCACGAAUUUAAAUUAUAAUCAAGGGUCUUUCAAGUCCAAUUUAAACAUUCACAAGUUUGAAUUCCAUCACUUAUAGAAAAUAAAAUGAAAAAUGUAGAGAAAUAAAUUAAAAAAAAAAAAAAGAUAAUUGAUGAAGUGCAAAUCAGUCUAAUUCAGGCAGAGGAAUGAGGGAAGAUGAACAGCUUGUGAGCAGUGAUCAGCAAGCAUUUACAGAAAGGCUUUUAUCUUAGUCUUCUUAUAUGGACAAAUAACACAAUGCCUGUAAAAUCUGAGAAUUUUUGUCUGUCUGGAAAAUGAAUUGGAAUAUAAAUGAUCAUACAUAUGUAUUAAAUGAGAGAUCUUUAAAGAAUCUAAGGACAUAUGUAAAUAAUUGCCAUUUCUAUUCACCAGUAAAUAAACCAAACUCUUCUGCCAGAAUUGCAAUAAUGUAUAUUUCAUUCCAUAGCAAAAGUUCCUUUUAUUUCCAUUUAUUUCAAAUUGAAAGAUAGUAUUUGCAGUAAGUGACACCUUAAUGUGCAUCCUGUCACCUGCUGUUCCUCUUGGCUGAUUAAAGCUAAUUUAUAGUUCUGCCUUUUUCAUAACUCUCAACAAAGUAUGGUAUUAUCAAUAAAGAAUGAAAAUACCAUUUUUUCCAUACAUGUCUCAUAGACAAUAUGAGCUACGAUCUCAUAUACCCCAGGAUUUACUUACAGAAUUACAACUAGUUGGUGGGACUCAGCACAAGGCAAUUCUACAGUUAUUUGUGAAACUUAUGAUAAACAUGACUUACUCCUUCAGAGAAGGUAAAGUCAGGUAUUCAGAAAAAAAAAUGAAUGUAGAGAUACAGUAAUAAAAGUACUGAAAUGGUAGCAUGUCAGCAGUCAGAAUAUCAUUCACGCUGACUAUACAUCUUUGAUUUGAAACAUAUUGUUUGUUUUUUUAUGUGGAGAUAAGCAACACAAAUGAAGAAAUAGAGUGUAUAGAGUGUGUGUAUGCAUGUGUACGUAUACAUAAAUAUGGAUACAUUCACAUGAGACCCGAGUAUAAUAAUAAUAAUAUAUAAUAAAAAAUAGUUCUUUUCAGAAAUAAUAAAAUAAUGUUAUUAGUAUAUUUCUGGGUCAUUUUUAGCACAGCUCAAAUUCUGCUUAUCUUUUUCUGCUUCUAGUCAUGUUUCUUUUUUUUUUUUUUUCUUCUUCUUCUUUAAAAAAAAUAAAAUUAUCCUGAUGCAAGCAAACAUAUAAUAGUGAAUGGACUCUCUGGGAGUGCCGGCAAGCCCACUUUUGACAGCAUGAACUCUUAAGGAAGGAACAAAAGUGUGAACAGACCCAAAACUGUCAGAGAGGGCCUUUGCCCCAAAAGGUUUCUGGGGGAUGUUGACAACCAGUGAGAUUGAACAGUAAGUGGGAAACUACAGGGAGAGUUUUGAAACAAAGGAGGAGUUUGCUUGAACACAAGUAUAAAACAAGCAUGAAAAUUCAUAAUGGUGUGGAGAGACCACAUUGGAUUGGAGGCAGCAGCAGUGAAAAUCUGUUUUGAUGCUGCCUGAAGUCACUUUCCAAACUCUGCCCGGGUCAAAGCAACCACUCUGAUGGACACUGCAAGAAGCCCACAUGUGGUUGGGACUGAUGACUUGGUGGGUAACACCUGGGACCCACACAUCAGGAGAAUGUGUGUGUGAGUUCAAAUGGUGCUUUCUCAUGAAUUAGUGGGUUAAGAGGAGAAAUGUAUAUGCUUGCAAAGUCGAAGCAACUGUUUCCAACCAGAGCUGUGUGGAAAUGCAGAUACCUGUGUUUCCAUGAGAAAUGGGAGGACGCUUUCCUUAUUUAAAAUAUGUGAACUGAGCAGCUGUUCCCUGAGACUGUAUUCCAGCUCUUACUUUUUGGACACUAAAAAGCAAAAGUGCAAUAACCACCAGUGCUGUCCAGGGUAGAAGUAGACUGUGGUUGCAACUACUGGAAUGACAACAGCUGUUUUGCAGAGAAGUGAUCCCCAACCACAAAACAGAGACAUGGAACCCGAAGACAAAUAAUUAUUUGAAAAAACAGUGGGAUUACAGAUGAAAAGAGGAUACAUCGAAGUGGAUGGCUUCCUCUUUUAAGAGACCAUAGAGACCAUAAAUUACAUAGUUCUGUUACUGAGGAUGAACGACUGUAUGGAACUCAGAGGUGUUUCUCAUCAACCUAGGUACUGAUGACUGGGAAUCAAAACAAGUGUUUGUCUUGUUGCAAAUCACAUAACUUUGAAGAAUCAUUUGUUAUAAUGCAAUAUACAUACAUACAUAUAUAUGUAUAAAAAUGUUAUUUAACUGAAUUUCAUUUUA